rnacentral:lncRNA from 1 species
GUCGGCUGUUAGACACAGUUAUUUUACAAAUUUAGUAAACAGUGCGAAUGUUAAAACAGUGUUUUAAGAGAGUUCUGCAGAGCCAAAAUGUCUAUAGUUGAAGAAACAUAAACGUUACGUUAAUUGUGAAAAAAAGUGCGACUUCUUCUAGAAACAUCAGUAACAACUACAGUAUGCAUAUGAAGACGUGAUUGAACAUGAAUAAUGAGAUCUAGCACUAAAUUAAUAAUCUCUGAAUGACAACAAUUAUAAAACGCGACGUUACCUUAAGUUUUUUUUUUUUUUUAUUAAACCUUCAUUCAAAAAUACACCUUAAGUUUUUGUUGUCAAACAUAAUACACGUAACGACGUCGUCGCUAGACUUGGGUGUGUCUCACGUCAAUCAAAGUUGCUUCUCUCUUCAAACCAGCAGUGACGACUAGCGGGAGUGUGAGAGAAACGAAAUCCUCUCUUUUGCUUUGUUGACAGUACUUCUGUAGUUUUUAGUCUCAUUAACUUUCUUUAUUAGUAAUCAUUAGUAAAAUAGUGACGUACAGCAUUAUCUGCUUAAAAGUGAGAUAGGAGUCAUUUUUGUUUUGCUUUACAAUCCUGUCAUUAGCAUAACUGUAUUAGAUGGUUAGCUUUCACACAGAGCUUUAGCAGUGUCUUUUAACUUCUUUCAUAAUUCGGACCAUGAAUGUCAGUUGUUUUGAUAUCACUGUUAUACAUGUGAUAGAUGGCUGGACAAGGACACAACUCGGAAAUCGAGCUUGAUUUUAUCGAAACUGGAAAGAGAUGCUCUGGUAAAAGCUGAGGCAUCCAGCACAGCACCUGGAAGGCUCUCACCCAUUCCUGAGCUGGAUCCCUGGGAGAGAGAAGUAGAAAAGAGCUCUACAGAAUUCACAUACUCCUUAUUCUCAGUGGACAGGUACAGCACUGCCUCCUCCUCCAGCAGCUCCCUAUCUGACUCCCAGGAGAGAGGAGAGCUUGGUGCUAAAGGUCCCGAAAGCUUGUCUGGAGCUUUAGUAGCCCGCCUGAGUCUGAUGCAGCCAUCCUUGGACCCCAAGGGCCCUGCGGAGCCACUGAAAUACCACCAGGUGCUUUUAGUGUCGGUCCCCGAGUCAGGAGAAUUUAUUCCGAGAAAUAAUGAGAGUUGCAUUAGCAGAGUAUCGAUCCCCCUCAGUGUGGCCUUCCCUCAUGAGCCUGCGGUAAGUCUUUAG